AUCUGGGCGGCGGAAUUCAGGAUGGCUGGCGCGCUUUCGCGGCGCGUCAGUCGUUUGAUAUUUCCGUCGCCAAUUUACUGCAGACGUCGCGACCUGUUCGCGGUCGGUCCCUGCUCGGAGGAGCCGCGUUCGAGUUCGUUGUGUACGCGUUUCGGCGUGUCACACGGCGAAGGCGCGGGUCUCUGGCUGGCCGUCGGACAGUAUGUUAACGGUGUCCGGUGUCGUCGUUUCGUACGUGCGUGCACCGGUACCGGUCAGCGACGAAUUCUUCGGGCCUCUUUCCGACCCGUCUUGAAACACGGACCAAGGAGUCUAACAUGCGCGCGAGUCGCGGGGUGUCGAGCGUACUUCGGUGCGUUCGUUACGUUGCGAAACCCGUACAUGUCGAAGGCGUAAUGAAAGUGAAUGGGGAAGAUGGUGCUCCGAGUACACGUUCCGCGAUCGUUGGUAUCGCGGCCGGGCACCCGCAUUCCCGGGGCGUCUCAACGGCCCGUCGCUGAUGCGGACAGUCGUCUCUCGGGGCGGCUGUCGGUCGGCGACGAACCGA
rnacentral:rRNA from 1 species